rnacentral:rRNA from 1 species
GAUGAACGCUGGCGGCGUGCCUAAUACAUGCAAGUAGAACGCUGAAGGAAGGAGCUUGCUCUUUCCGGAUGAGUUGCGAACGGGUGAGUAACGCGUAGGUAACCUGCCUGGUAGCGGGGGAUAACUAUUGGAAACGAUAGCUAAUACCGCAUAACAGUAGAUGUUGCAUGAUAUCUACUUAAAAGGUGCAAUUGCACCACUACCAGAUGGACCUGCGGUGUAUUAGCUAGUUGGUGAGGUAACGGCUCACCAAGGCGACGAUACAUAGCCGACCUGAGAGGGUGAUCGGCCACACUGGGACUGAGACACGGCCCAGACUCCUACGGGAGGCAGCAGUAGGGAAUCUUCGGCAAUGGACGGAAGUCUGACCGUGCAACGCCGCGUGAGUGAAGAAGGUUUUCGGAUCGUAAAGCUCUGUUGUAAGAGAAGAACGAGUGUGGGAGUGGAAAGUUCACACUGUGACGGUAUCUUACCAGAAAGGGACGGCUAACUACGUG